UACCAGCACCCCGAGUGGUCGGGACGAUUAUUGGGCCUAAGCAUCCGUAGCCGGCCUUACAAGUCCUCCGUUAAAUCCAGCUGCUUAACAGAUGGGCUGCGGAGGAUACUAUAAGACUAGGAGGCAGGAGAGGCAAGCGGUACUCAGUGGGUAGGGGUAAAAUCCGUUGAUCCAUUGAAGACCACCAGUGGCGAAGGCGGCUUGCCAGAAUGCGCUCGACGGUGAGGGAUGAAAGCUGGGGGGAGCAAACCGG
rnacentral:rRNA from 1 species